UUUUUUUUAUUUCCACUGGGAUUUCUUCUUUAGCCCCUGAGUUAUUUUAACAAUGUGAACAGAUUGGUUUUUUCUUACUUUUUAUUGAGAUAUACAUGCAGAAAAAUGCAGAUAUCACAAACAUACAACUUGAAGGAUUUUCACACCGAACAUCUGUGUAAGCAGCACCCAGAUGGAUGGCAGCAGCUCCUGCCUGUUCCC
rnacentral:lncRNA from 1 species